rnacentral:rRNA from 1 species
UAGAGUUUGAUCAUGGCUCAGGACGAACGCUGGCGGCGUGCUUAAUACAUGCAAGUCAACUUGACUUUAGAUAGCAAUAUCGAAAACUAGGGUGGCGCACGGGUGCGUAACGCGUAGGUAAUCUGCCCUGAGGUCUGACAUAACCCGUCGAAAGGCGGGCUAACAUCAGAUGAUAUAUAAUCACGACAUCGUGGAAAUAUCAAAUCUUCGGAGCCUUGGGAUGAGCCUGCGUCUGAUUAGGUAGUUGGCGGAGUAAUAGCCCACCAAGCCUACGAUCAGUAGCUGGUCUGAGAGGAUGAUCAGCCACACUGGAACUGAGACACGGUCCAGACUCCUACGGGAGGCAGCAGUAAGGAAUAUUGCUCAAUGGGGGAAACCCUGAAGCAGCAACGCCGCGUGAAGGAUGAAAUACUUUUGUAUGUAAACUUCUGUAAGAUGGGAAAAAUAUUCUCCUCGGGAGAAUUGAUUGUACCAUCAGAGUAAGCCCCAACGAACUACGUGCCAGCAGCCGCGGUAAUA